CAUCUGUAAGACAAGCCCAAGUACAAAGCUCAAAAUCACAGAGCAAGAAACAAUUUUAGAAAUACCGUAGACAUCAACGUAUUGUCAGACUCGGGUAAAAGAUGCUUCAAUGAUUUUGACAUACAUCAGCACCGGCAUCAUGUUCGUUUACAGCAGUCUACUGGAAUUAACAUGAAAUAGACUUAUGACUGCUAAUCAGUUUUUGAGAAAUAGAAUACUAUGAGGUCAAAGCAGGACUCACCUGUCCUCAUUACUUUUCCUUCCACUGGGUUCAGUGUAUUGAAGAUGGCAUCAUACUCCACACGCUUCUUGCUGAUGAUCCACUCUAUAUCGCCUGCGCCGGCAUCGACCCCUUCUCCGCGUUUGUAACCAAAUGGUCCGAGCGUGCUGCCCACAACUUCGAAUGCUCCGCCUGGACAAAUGUCAUGUAUCCAUUGUCACUGAUGCAGUAACUGAAUCUAACCCCAGUCAUAAGCUGAAUACACUCAAAACAGAAAAUUAAACAUCAAUAAAAAUUUCUAAAUCCAAGAUAAAAAAACGUCUGUGACAAUUUCAGCAUUUACAUUAAGAAUUAAUAACAAAUUAUUUCAUAAAUCAUAACAGUGACCCAUUUCUUCAUUCAUUUACUUUAAUAUUUGGUGUAAAACUGUUACCAAUUCAUGAAGAAUAAAAUGUAAGAGAAAUCACAAAUAAAACAAGUAAAUACAUAAUCA